GGAAUUUCAUUAUAAAAGAGAAAAAGUGAUGCUGAUCCCUAGAAGGUUAAUGCAACAUUAAUGCAUCAAAGCUGACAUUUUUAGCAAUCUCAAAACAAAGAGCAUCAAAGAAUAUGCAGUUUCUUAAUGCCUUGACACACUAAAAAAUGUAGGUGUGUCGUGGUGCGACAUUUUGGUCUUUGUUUAUAGUUUUGUGUUUUGUUUACUUAAGCUAGAUGUUUAUAGUUUUGUGUUUUGUUUACUUAAGCUAGAUGUUUCUAGUUUUUGGUUUGUAUUCAUGUUUGGUUAUUGUUUUGUUUUCCUGACUGUUCUGGUUUCCUUCUCCCUCCCAGUGCGUUUUCCUCUCACCCUUGCAGAAUGGUUUCUUAAUUAUUAUUAUUACUAUUAUCGUUUCUCUGGUCCCUUAGCUUUUGCUCUCGCUUUUAUAUUUAUGUUUUGGUAUUGGUUCCUUUGCAUUCUUAUUUUAUUAUUCUCUGUUCUGUUACUCCUCGUCAUCAGUUUUCCUCUUCUACUUAUUUCUUACUUGACUUUAGUUCCUCUUACAUUCUUUGACCCUCUUAGCUUUGUUUAUCUUUAUUUUCUAGUCCCUCCUUUAUAAGUUAGCUUUAUUAUUGUUUACUUUUAUUCCAGUCCUCGUUUCCUCUGCUCCAUUCUCAGUUUGGUCCUUUAGGGUUGGUUUAGGUUUGUUUACUUUGUAAUCAGGGUUUCCUCCAGUUUCUCUGUUACCUUUUAGGUCUUGGUUAUUCUAGAUUUCUUGUGCUUCUUUUGGUUAUUUUAUCUUUGUCUUUAGUUUUGCAUAGGUCUGUAUCUCCUUAUUGUUAUUAGUCCUUUCCCUCUUGUUUUAGUCUUCAUAUUAGGUUCACCUGCUCCCUCUGUCUCCCUGCGUCCCUGUCACACCUGUUCCACUUUCCUUUGAUUAUCUGCCCUUUGUUCCCCUCUCACAUCUCUCUGUAUAUUAGUUGGUCUGUGUUCUUUGUUCCCUGCUGGUUCCUUUGUUCACUACCCUUGUCCAUGUCUUGAGGUCCACAUGUUCCUGCAGUGUCUCUGUAAGUUGUGGAUUGCUACUCUGGUCAGUAGACCAGAUGUCUCGCCAAAGCUGUGAAACGAUCUUCCUCUGCACAUCAGACGAGCUCCCCCAGUUGAUCACUUUAAAUCUCUUUCUUUUUACUUGGCUUUUAACCCAGUUUAGAUUAACAUUGAUUGUUUGUGUUUUUAUUAUUAUUUUUUAUCUCUGUCUUGUGUUUUACCUGUUGUGCUGUAUUUGAGUCAAAGAUGUGUUUUGUAAAGUGUUAUAUAAAUCAAAGUGGUGUGGUAUGGUAUGGUAUCCCUGCUUUUAUUUGCACAGUUUUCCAUAUUACGUAAGUAGCCUUGUUAUUUUUGAACAAAUGGAAAAAGAACAAUUUGUAAUUUUUUUAUCAAUUACCUUACUUAGUCGCACAUUUCUUAGCAUCUCGGUAUGCUAUUUUUAUUUAACUGUAUGGCUUUUGUCUUACAUUGUGUUUACUGUACAUCUUGUAUUCUUUUUUUAUUAUUGUAAUUUUUCUGUGCUUCCAUUUACCUGUUACUUUGUUGCUGAUAAACCUGAAUUUCCUGUAUUGAUGGACAAUAAAGAAUAUUUCUAAUCUUU